rnacentral:lncRNA from 1 species
UCUUCAUCGGCUUCCAGAAUAGCAGCAUUACCAGAAUUAGUAUUGAGCAGUAGUGAUGAGAAAGACGCAGCAGUGAGUAAGCAGAUUGACGUUAGGCUUCUUCUUCUGCUGGUCACCACAGGGGAAAUGGGUGGUGAUUCUUCUGAUGACUGAGUGAAGCAUCUGCAGAAAUUGGGAUGUUGUUUCCUGGCAGUAGUAGUUCUUGGAUGUGAAAAUGCAAGAGAAGAAGAAUAUGGUGAUUGUGACGAUGCUGGUAGUGG